UGUCGAAUCUUGUUAACAGUGUUCUUCGUUAAGACGCACAUCACUCACAUCAGUGUUUCAGUGUAUUAAUCUUUGUGUCUAAUAUAGUGUAAUAUAUCUAAUAUAGUGUAUAUCAGUGUAUAAUUAUAUUUUUAUAUAACUUAAAAGUUAUUUGUCGAUUAGCAUAUUAAUGUAAAUAAUAUCAAGAUUAAAUAAGUUCAAUACAAAAACUGAACCAUAUUAAUAUUGUGUUAAACAAAAAAAAAGUGUACUAUAAACUUCUCUCUAGACGUUUACUCAGUGUGUAUUGUGUACAAAAUACGAACUUGUGGACUAAUUUAGCUAGAUAAAAAUUUGUGUUGUGUGUAAAGCUUCGUUUUAUGUUUAAUUACGUAAAACAUUUAAGAUGGCUUUUAUGUAUGCAUUAGUUUUAUUUUUAAAUGAUUCGUCCAAUAAAGAAAUUGAUAUAUUGAAUAUCGUGGUACCGGAUGUAAAUAGCCUGAAUCAUUGUUAAAAAGUACUAAGUAUUGUAAAUUAUUACAAACGAUAGUUAAACAUUGUGAAGGGUCUGACCGACAUGGCCAACGUUUUAUGUUCAAAUAAGUGUCACAGCAGAAACAAUGGAAGAGGCAGAGGAAAAAUUAAUAAGAUUAAAAAGAACCCCUAUUCUUCUCUACCAAUAAUGAGUAGUCUGGUAAAGCAAAAGCGGCUGCUGUUGAAAAACUUUCAAAUUAAAAGCAUUAGCAAAGGAUUGAUUAAAAAUAGAUAAUAUAUUUAGCCAAAUAGCUUUAGAGUUAACUGACGAACCCACUGAAAUUGCAGAACCUAAGAAAUAAAAGCCAUAAAAAUGUAACCAAAAAAUUGUGAAGAAACAAGCCUAAAAACAUAGUCUCGAAUGGUCAUCUACAUCAAUAGUGUCUUCGAUAUCUUCAUCACCACCGUCAUUGUUAUGUAAACCUACGAAAAUAAAUAAUGAAACUAAAAAAAACGUAUUAAUGACAGUACUAACUACAUAGUUGGCUCAAAAAAAAGGAAAAAAAUUAGUUCAUAAUCUACACCAUACUACCUUGAUCAUCUUCAUCAUCACCAUCAACUAAACGUAGAAAAAUAAGAAAAAUCAACUCAAAUUUGAAGGACAUAAAUAUGCGUAUGGAAAUAGCACAUGAAGACAGUACAUUAGCAACAAUUGCUGAUAAUCCCUUUUCAUCAUCAUCAUAAAUCUGAAACAGAAGCUGAAAUGAAUAUAUUAGCAGCUAGAUCAUCAUCAACAAAAAAUACUGUAUCCAGUGAUUCUUUGCUGGAAUGUAUCAAACAUAAUUAUAACGGUCUAUCAAAACAAUUAGCAAAUUUAAAAGGCCAUAUCUGCUGACGUUCCCAAAUCCUAUCUGAAAUAAAAAAAUAACAGUACUCAGCUGUUAGAUUUCAGUUUAUUAACAGAUCCUGAAGGAAAUCCAGUGGUCCAAAAAUUAGAAUUUCCGCUAUCAACAAUGGAAGAUAUUAUUUUGAUAAAUUCAAUGAAAAAUUAAAAGGCCAAAAAUAUAAAAAUAAAAUGAAUAAACGUAUAUACUUUUCUCUUGAUGGAAAAAAUACUUUUACCCGUAAUAUGGGAAAUAUUACUCGUGUUUAUAUAACAAGAGAUGACAUAUGUAGCAGUUAAAGCAACUUCAAAAAAAAGUUUUCAAAGAUACGACUUUUUCACUUCUAUAAAAAGUAUGUUAAUCAUUAUAUAGUGCAGAAUUACUAUCAUUGAUACCUAAUUAAUUAUUUCUUAA